GACGAACGCUGGCGGCGUGCUUAACACAUGCAAGUCGAACGGAAAGGCCCUGCUUUUGUGGGGUGCUCGAGUGGCGAACGGGUGAGUAACACGUGAGUAACCUGCCCUUGACUUUGGGAUAACUUCAGGAAACUGGGGCUAAUACCGGAUAGGAGCUCCUGCUGCAUGGUGGUGGUUGGAAAGUUUCGGCGGUUGUGGAUGGACUCGCGGCUUAUCAGCUUGUUGGGGGGGUAGUGGCUUACCAAGGCUUUGACGGGUAGCCGGCCUGAGAGGGUGAACGGCGACAUUGCGCCUGCGAGACGGACCAGAAGCGUAUGUGAGGCGGCAGUGGGGAACAUGGCAGAACGGGGGGACGUGUGAUGUAGAAACGCUGGGUGCGGGAUGACGUGCUUUGGGGUGUAAACAGAUUUCGACUGUAACGAAGAGGGAGUGACGGUACCGGGUAAAGAAGCACCGGCUAACUACGUG
rnacentral:rRNA from 1 species